rnacentral:lncRNA from 1 species
CGGGAUCUGAGCGCCUGCAGCCGCCAGAGCCUGAGCUGCCGGACUGAGGACCACCCCGCAGGUACAGAGCGGGCGGCGUGAACCCGGGGCCGCAGGGAGGGCUCCAGACCCAUCUUCCAGGGACUGUGCGGGGCGCUGAGCCUGGUGCUGGCGCGCGGCCGGGCACAGGUGCCUUGUGUAUGUAGCCGGUGGAAAGGAAGGCCUUGUUGAGAACCAGAAGAAUGAGGACAUCAGCAGAAUCAGAAUAGCGUUUCCAGUACCGGAUAUCUCAGACUUCUGCUUGGCGUGCUUCCUCCCAUCGUCCCUUUCCUGAGGUGCAGGGAGAGAGGCUUGGCUACUGAGGAACCAGAUAAAGCACAAAGGCUCCUGACACUUUUUGCACUCCAGCUGGCAGGUUUGAAGACCGGACUGGAGAAAACGGAAAAG